rnacentral:rRNA from 1 species
GAUGAACGCUGGCGGCGUGCCUAAUACAUGCAAGUCGAGCGAACAGAUAAGGAGCUUGCUCCUUUGACGUUAGCGGCGGACGGGUUAGUAACACGUGGGUAACCUAUCUAUAAGACUGGAAUAACUCCGGGAAACCGGGGCUAAUGCCGGAUAACAUGUUGAACCGCAUGGUUCUACAGUGAAAGGCGGCUUUGCUGUCACUUAUAGAUGGACCCGCACCGUAUUAGCUAGUUGGUGAGGUAACGGCUCACCAAGGCAACGAUACGUAGCCGACCUGAGAGGGUGAUCGGCCAAACUGGAACUGAGACACGGUCCAGACACCUACGGGAGGCAGCAGUAGGGAAUCUUCCGAAAUGGGCGAAAGCCUGACGGAGCAACGCCGCGUGAGUGAUGAAGGUCUUCGGAUCGUAAAACUCUGUUAUUAGGGAAGAACAAAUGCGUAAGUAACUGUGCGCGUCUUGACGGUACCUAAUCAGAAAGCCACGGCUAACUACGUG